AAAGAUUUUUAGUUCCAUGCCUGAUUGAACUUUAUAAAUGGCCUAAAAGGUUGUAUGGCAAUGGGGUUUAAAACUCUACGUUGGCUGGGCACAAUGGCUCACGCCUGUAAUCCCAGCACUUUUGGAGGCCGAGGCGGGUGGAUCACCUGAGGUCGGGAGUUUGAGACCAGCCUGAUCAACAUUCUUUACUAAAAAUACAAAAUUAGCCAGGCGUGGUGGCGCAUGCCUGUAAUCCCAACUACUCGGGAGACUGAGGCAAGAGACUCACUUGAACCUGGGAGGCAGAGGUUGUGGUGAGCUGAGAUCGCGCCAUUGCACUCCAGCCCGGGCAUAACCCCUGAACUUUGGUGGAAAUGUCAUUACAUAGUGCAACAGAGCAAGCAAAUCUGAGCUGCUUAGUCAUAUUUCACUGGGUGGUACCGCUCCUGGCCCUGUGAACGUGAUC
rnacentral:lncRNA from 10 species